GAGUGACCAUUGUGUCAUGGCUCUGCCAACCCCGCGAACCCUAUACAUUCACGUUGCCUCGGCGGGCCUCCCGCCGCAGGCCCCUGUGCAAAACGCUCUAAAAGCUCCGCGCUCCUUCUGAACAACAAACAAUAAACAAUAAAAACUUUUGGCAACGGAUCUCUUGGCUCU
rnacentral:misc_RNA from 1 species